ACGGAGCCGCUGUGGGAAUGGCUCCCCGCGGCGCCCGGGCGCUGGGAUCCGGCUCUGGGAUCUGGGAUGGGAUCCGGCUCUGGGAUCCGGGAUGGGAUCCAGGAUGGGAUCAGCCAGGGCACGGAGCCGCUGUGGGAACGGCUCCCCGCGGCGCCCGGGCACUGGGAUCCGGCUCUGGGAUCUGGGAUGGGAUCCGGCUCUGGGAUCCGGGUUUGGGAUCCGGGCUGGCAUCGGCCAGGGCACGGAGGGAUCCGGCUAUGGGAUCCAGGAUGGGAUCCGGGUUUGGGAUCUGGGAUGGCAUCGAGGCCUUGGAGCACAGCGAGGGCUCCCUGCAGCACCUGGGCUCUGGGAUCCCGUCUGGGAUCCGGGUUUGGGAUCCCAUCUGGGAUCCGGGUUUG
rnacentral:lncRNA from 1 species